CACACCAGAGUAGCACCUUAGACCAUGCCACUCAGCUACAGAAAUGACCUUGCCAUGCCAGGGACGAACACCUUACACUACACUACUCAGCAACAGGGCCAUACGGUGCAGAGAGGACCUGCCGACGCCGGGGAUUGUCACCUUACAGUAUGCCACACAAUUACAGAGCCAUGAAAAGACAGCUGCAAGAUGACACAAAGCAAGAUGGUUUCCCAAUGCGUAAAGAUUGAACACCAACCUCCGAGAUGAAUCAGAAGAAGCGCCUGUAUGGAUAGGACACGAGUGUAGUAAUAAAACCAUAUUGCCAAUAUAAA